AGAUUUCUGUUUAUAUGAUUACGGUUAUGGUUGUACUUUAUUAAUCCCUAAUCUCUGCCAUUACAUACAAGAAAAGGUAAAAUAUAAAAAACAGAGCAAUGUAAUACAAUACACUAUUAGAAAUUAUUGUAAAAAAAUUAAUGAAAUGUUCAUCCCAUGUGUUAGUGAAUUUCUAAAUAUUUUAGAAUGGCAGGAAAUGAGUUUUCAAAUGUUGAGGUUUUUCCUGGGGGGGGGGGGCAGAGCCCCCUGCAGAUUGCCCCCAUCCCCUCUGUAUAAAGUGAGUCAAAAGGAACACAACAAUAAUUCACAAGGGCUACAUAGAGAGCAUAACAAAUACAACUGUUUAUUAUGGAUUCUCAUAACAAUGAAGUUGGCAUACGCUACGCAGUGUAUGUUUUGACACUACUCUCGCACGCAAUUUUGAUCCCGUUGAUGGUGUGGUUUUGGCUUAAUUCCCUUUGUUCAAACGACCCACGCAAUGAUUCCGUUUAUUUUACCAGCAUUGCUCCGUGUAGACUCGAGAAAAAUAGACUUCUAAUUUUACGUGCGAUAACACCGUUGACGCUAGCGGACAGUGUUUUCUCUCAGGGGCAUGAACACUUGCAAGCGGUAAAUUGCCGCGUGCAGUUUAAAAACCGCACAUUGUGACUCGCUUGUGGGUGCGCUGGCAGCACGUUCGAUUGUGCGUCAAGAAUUCAUCAUAGCAAGUUUGUAUGAUGGUCUGUUUAUUAAAUGGGUAAAUAGUUCAAUAGUAAUAUGCUCUAAAACGCUCUGGUGGCAAACACGCUUUGUUGCCCUGUUUACAAUUGUCCACAUAGCUGGGAGAACCUAUUCAAAUACCUUGUAACUGGAGAUUCUUUCAAAAUGAUGACCUACAGUUACCGUGUAGGGCACUGCAAGGUUGGGUGACCAGGGCCAUCUGGGACUGCCUCCUGGAGCUUCAUGAGGAUGGACACGAGGUCCAGAAGAGGAUCUGCAGCUCACCGCCAUGUGCCAGAGGAGAAGUCUGCUGCUCUGCAGGAUGUUUCAAGGAUGGGGUCCAACAACACAGCAAGAGAGGCAAUCCUUGUGCGGGAGAUCUUCACCUCCUUCUUCAAAGAGGGUGCUGUUCCCUGACAACGCCAUAGACUACACUACGCACAACCAAAGGCUCUUUUAAGAGCCAUCGACAUUGCAAUAAGAGUAUUCUUCCAUUUACUUAGCUAUGUCAACUGCAGUUUCAAUUCCCUUUUUCUCCCUUUGAUUUCUACUUCUCAGGUGAGGGUGCUGUUUGGGUAAGGGUGUGAUGCAUGUACAAAAACAAAACAGGUUAUUUUAAGUCACCCAUAUUGAAAACAAUGUAGAACAAUUAGACACCCUAUAACCCACACCUACACACUCAUGUAUCAAUCUGAUUGUGUUGUGCAGUAAGCAGGCUCAGGUGUAUAACUGUGGCUCCUUCCACCUUCAAAGAAUAGGCAAGAGGGUCCAACCAUGGAGAACAGUAAGACACUUCAUUAUUUAUAUGCUAUAUUGUUUGUCCUCGUGUCUGCAUGUUUUUCAGUAUAAAGUACUCAGCAGCCACUUAGUGUGGACACCAGGUGAGGCCACACGCACAUAUUCCUGUUGAACACUGUCUCUUUAACUACCUUAUUUUCUCAAUAACAGUCUCUCUCCUUCGCUUCAUCCCUCCCUCCCUAAAUCCUCUAGGUUAUAUCAGCUGUGUCGGUGAACCCCUCCCACAUCUGAACUGGCUACAUAGAGGGAACAGCAUGAUCGGAGGUAUGUUUUGAUGUGAGAGAGGAUGCCAACCCCUAGUCCCGUCAUCGCCACCUCACCCGCUCUUAAGAUAACCUUCGGGUCGACUGGGAGCCCAAGGUUCAUAGCUAGGUUCUGAACUAAUAUGUAUACCAAAUGUUUUUGGGUCCAUACACAAAUCAGCUACAUAGCUAGCUACACAUCCAUAGGCAUACAGGUAUUUUUAUUCUCCACUGCACAAUAAGCAAGAAAAUAGUUAGAUAGCUACGUUAUUUCAUCUAUCUGCAUUGCAUGGCAAAUAUCAGCAAGGCAA